UCACAAAACACCUGCAAAAGAGAAAGCACAAAGGAUAAGAAGGAGAGAGUGGAGUUUGGUGAGGUUUUCCGGCGAGACUCGACAACGAUAUCUCGUGACCGAAACAACCAAACUCGACGUUGAAACGUUUGAUUCACGACACAAGAAGGAUCCUCGACGACUGUACAUCGAUCUAAGGCGUUUUCAAUUCACAAGACCUCGGGAAAAGGAAGAAAAGAGGCGGAUAGAGAAGUAGAGGAAGAAAAAAAAACAGAAAUCGACAUCGGAAACGACGAACAGAGUAGAGAAAAGGUCGCUGCAAAAUCUUGUUGCGAGUCAGGUGAAGAAGAAAGGAUCCAACAAAUCCGCAUCCGAGUUAGAUUCCACCCAUGACCCGCCUUGCCAGCAACCAGCCUAGACGACGCAGCCCGCACCCGCAGUGGCUCACGUCUGCAAUCCACGACCUGUAACUCGCUAUGCCUACAACCCAUUAAACUGAAGCCUAAUCCAAGCCUCGGCCCAGUCCAUCUGUAGCAGUCCGCGCUUGUAGCAAUUCGAGAAGCCGAGGCCCAAAUUGCAGCCAACCUGUAACCCAUGAUCGCAGUCCAGCCUACAACUCGUGACUGAUGCCUCGACCUACGCCUUGAUCGAAGUCACCUGCACACCUGUUGCCCUCGUAUUGUGCCAUGUAGCACGCUUGCAGCAAAUGACUCCUUCAACUUGGUCAGCUUAGACGGCUCGGCUUGGCUAUCUGCAACCCUUUAGGCUUAUUCGGCUCAAGUACUCAAAUUUCAAACUAAUUUCUACCAUUUUGACCCUCCCAAACCAGUUUUCGACCUCAAGAAAUGAUUCCCAGUAAUACUUGGAGCAGCUUUCGAGAAACGAGAGCCAACGAUAAUAAUUUAGGGAGAACGCCGGCUAUGGCCAACAAACUAACUAGACGAUUAUGGGUUCAGGGGGUGCGAGCCGCCUGGAGAUUAACAAUUGCAAGUGUGGGUCGUGUGUAAGGAAGUAUUAUUCAUCCAAGUUAGUCCGAACUGGAGGCCACCCCUAGGAUGAGAUAGUGAUAGGUCCCUAGAGCAUUGUUCCAUGUGUUUGCAUUUCUUCACGACCCCUAUAGAUGGGACACUUACUAAGUAAUCUUCGAAAUACUCAGGCCGUGUGCUAAAUCAUUUUACAAGUAAAGUCAAGGCACCCAUGUACGGUUGACGGUGGCAUCACAAAGUAAAGACAAUGGAAUGUGCAGAAGAUAGAAACAUAUUUAAAUUCAAGGGGCGUCUUGCUUUUAUGUGAAAAAUGCAGUAGCACAAGGCUUGAGCAUUUUAAGAAUACUCACUAAGCGACCCCCUAUCGGGGUUCUGAUGUAAGAACUUGCGAAUGCAAUGACGGCAUCUAUCAUAACUGUUUAUUUUCCUACAGUACUAUUCUAACGGGUAGCUUGGAUGUGUGCCAUAUACUCUACACAUGGCCCAUACGUGCGAGUAUGGACCCACCAGUCGGUUCGCACACCCUUGACCCUUUUCCUUGUUGGGUGAGCAUGCUCUGGUAGCUCUCUAUGCCGGAUACCCGUUAGAAGUAGUAGUCGUUACGACAGUAUUAUGUAAAAUGUAAUGGUAGUUCUCCUGGCUAGUGGUGUACGUGCUCGUACCAUCGUGAAAGAAUACGGGUAUCCCUAAUAUUUUUCCAUUUUCAACAUUAUUAUAUAUAA